UUGCACGCUGGCGGCAGGCCUAACACAUGCAAGUCGCACGGUAACAGGAAGCAGCUUGCUGCUUCGCUGACGAGUGGCGGACGGGUGAGUAAUGUCUGGGAAGCUGCCUGAUGGAGGGGGAUAACUACUGGAAACGGUAGCUAAUACCGCAUAAUGUCGCAAGACCAAAGAGGGGGACCUUCGGGCCUCUUGCCAUCGGAUGUGCCCAGAUGGGAUUAGCUUGUUGGUGGGGUAACGGCUCACCAAGGCGACGAUCCCUAGCUGGUCUGAGAGGAUGACCAGCCACACUGGAACUGAGACACGGUCCAGACUCCUACGGGAGGCAGCAGUGGGGAAUAUUGCACAAUGGGCGCAAGCCUGAUGCAGCCAUGCCGCGUGUAUGAAGAAGGCCUUCGGGUUGUAAAGUACUUUCAGCGGGGAGGAAGGGAGUAAAGUUAAUACCUUUGCUCAUUGACGUUACCCGCAGAAGAAGCACCGGCUAACUCCGUG
rnacentral:rRNA from 1 species